GUAACCCAUGGCCUUAUUCACUGGAUGCUAUUCAAGUCCUGCUCUGAAGAUGGACAACUAAUGUCCUCAUGGACUCUUCUGCCAUGCUCAUCAACAUCUGCGUGCUUCACAGCAUUUAGUUUACUCCCCCCCACCCCACACACUCUGUGAGAUGAGGGGAUAUUAUCAUAUAGAUGAGAAACUCCGGCAGAGAGAUCAACCUUCCAGGAGCAUAGCUCCACCCCCUCAGUUUGCCCAGGGGCCCACGGAGGCUGUCGGCUCCUCUGGAUGAAGAUGAUGAUGCAACAUCAUGUAGGAAAAGCCAAUACAACAACAGACCAGAUGCUGAGAAGCCAACUGUAUUUCUCAUCAACUAAGGAUGUAGGCCAAGUCCACCACCCAAACCUGGGAAGACGCCAUCUCAAGGCAUGACUAUGCCAAGACAGCAAAAUGACCAUUUCAUAAGAGAUCAGUCACAGAAGCCAGCCUGUCUGGGUGAUCAGCUGCCAGCACCACCUUGAUGGCCGAAAAACAAUACAAGUGAGUCCUGCAAAGGAACCUACCCAAGAAAGAGAGAGACACAAAACCCCAUCUAGAAAAGAAGAUCAAAGUCAGCAAGUAUUCCCAGUACCAGUUGCAGGUUAUACAGUCAAACUCCAGUUAGUGUGGGACCUAAAUAUCUUCCUUGUUUUGUAAUGAAAGCACAAGAUAGUCAGGAAAUCUGAAUUCUACUUCCAGCUCUGUCACUGGCAUGUUGUGUGAUCCUGGGUAUGUUACUUAGCAGGUGUGUCUUAAGUUUACCAUUCAGUAGCAUGGAAGUUUCAAUACUUCCUUUGCUCACAAGGGAAAGAAGCUAAACUCACUAAUAUUUGUAAAGUACUUUGAAAUCCUUGAUUGAAAGGUGUUAUCAAUGCAGAAUGACAUUGUAUAUCCCUACACAGCCAAAUCUAAAUUAAUCUGAACCUAUUCAGUCGGCUUCUAUUAGUAAUCAUUUUAAGUACAGAAAUCUAUACUCAACAUAAAUCAUAAUCUCCCAAUCAGAACAAUGCAGAAGCCAGUACCAGAGGAGAUGUAACUAUUUUGCAUAUCAGUUGAUCUAGCUGGCCAUCUGUCAAGGUGGGAAUGGAUAUUUAUUUCUGUAAUAAUUCACAAAUCCUAUGUCAGCAAACCUGACAGGUUGUCCUUGGCUUUGCAAUCUAUAGUAUUGGCCUUACUCGUAUUAAAUUCUCCUUAUAUUACAAGAUAUGAGUUCAGAGUUAGACCUGAACAUUUUUACCACAUGGAAAACAUUUGAAUGGAGAGAUGGAAAACAUUACUUUACAUUAUUAAUGUGAUAGCAAAACCCAGAACAAUUGAACACAUCAGGUCUCAGUUAAAGCUGCAAUACACAGUUACAUGGAUUCAUUGGUGAUGGUUUAAUUAUGACCAAAAAAGCUCAUGAAGCAAUGCACUUUUGUCUCAUUCUCUUAAGAGCAUUUCUUCUUGCUCACACAUUACUGGAUGUUGAAUAGCUGAUUUUGUGCCAGCUGGAUUUUAAUCUCUGCUUUUCUGCAUCCAGGAUGUCAAAACAAUACUUUGUUUGGCCGACGUACACCAGGAUUUGUAAUCAUAAAUCAGGUUUGUUAGCACCAGUAGGACUGAACCUGAAACUGAGCAAGAUUUUCCAUGAUUCUCUUGGGAUUUUUGGUGAGAGCUGCCUUUAUUUGCAGAGUUUACAGGGCUUAUCCAUCACAAAAUGGAAAUUUUAGUUAAUAACUCUCUCAGAUAAUCUUAUUUAAAUAACAAUACAUUUAAAAUAGGAUAUUUACAACCAACCUGUAGAAUCCUUCCUAUAAGAUGUAAAACUACAACUACAUGCAGAUUCAGUUGUGAAAUUAUGCCCACAGGCCCACUUGCUUCAGUUGAGGUGCAAUAGCUACUUUUUCCAGUUAAAGAAGACAACUGAAAUUGUUCCAGGAAUCCAGAUUGACCAAAUUAUUAUUUCUAAUAAUAAAUCUGAAUCAACAAACAAAACCCCCAUGUGAAAAUAGGUUCCUGUACAAGUAAUCACUUUUCAUCCUGGAAUGUUGGUAAUACCUGCAUAUUGAUUCUACAGGCAUAUCACAUGUGGUACACAUUUUAAGAAACUUCACUAGGAAAUUGAAGGCAGUAGUGGUGAUGACUAAUGUACAGAAAGAAAAUGUGUCUUCCUCAACCUAAAUAAGAUAGUAAACUUACCAGAGUCCACUUGCCUUCGAUUUUUGUCUCAAGCCCUCUGAAGAUGGCAGAUACAAUCAUCGCCCAUUUUCUGCUGUAGACUUUUGUGUUAUUUCAAAUCCUUUACUAUGUCCAGGUGCCCGGUGACAUCUUUUGAUAUCCACCUUAGUUUUCUCAGAGUACCAAGUAGCUAAAUAAAAUACAGCUAUGAGGAAACACUUCUAGUUCAAACCAACAAGCAAGCAAAUACAUGCACAGUGAAUUUUUACAGGGGAAAAAAGUUUCCCAAAGAAAGCUAGUUAUAAAAAAGUAUGUGUGAAGAAUUUCUCAUUAACUAAUUUAUUUAUUGUGUAUAUUACGUGCGUUUUAAACAGAUGGCUCUUGCUUACUCAUUCCUCGUACAAGGAAUGUCUACAGUACAGGACAAAGUCGA